AGUGAACGCUGGCGGUAGGCCUAACACAUGCAAGUCGAACGGCAGCACAGUAAGAGCUUGCUCUUACGGGUGGCGAGUGGCGGACGGGUGAGGAAUACAUCGGAAUCUACUUUUUCGUGGGGGAUAACGUAGGGAAACUUACGCUAAUACCUCAUACGACCUACGGGUGAAAGCAGGGGAUCUUCGGACCUUGGGCGAUUGAAUGAGCCGAUGUCGGAUUAGCUAGUUGGCGGGGUAAAGGCCCACCAAGGCGACGAUCCGUAGCUGGUCUGAGAGGAUGAUCAGCCACACUGGAACUGAGACACGGUCCAGACUCCUACGGGAGGCAGCAGUGGGGAAUAUUGGACAAUGGGCGCAAGCCUGAUCCAGCCAUACCGCGUGGGUGAAGAAGGCCUUCGGGUUGUAAAGCCCUUUUGUUGGGAAAGAAAAGCAGCAGGUUAAUACCCCGCUGUUCUGACGGUACCCAAAGAAUAAGCACCGGCUAACUUCGUG
rnacentral:rRNA from 1 species